rnacentral:SRP_RNA from 1 species
CCGUGCUAUGCGGGGAGCUAGUGGUGCCCUGUAACACGCAAUCCACUACAGCGUGGCAGAAUACCAAGGGCGGCCUCUCCCGUGGAAGGUCAGGAACGGACAAGGAGUGUCGAUAUCAGGGUCUUGUGCAAUGGCUUUUUGUGAACCAUGUCAGGGCGAAAGCAGCAGCAUUAAGCAAAGCGAGUCAUGUGCCACGAGGGUGCUUUGAAGGAGCCACCUAUCCGGAUACCGCUUCGGCGGGGGUUGUCAACCUUGGUUGCAC